GGCAAAAGUGUGGGCUUGGGGUGGGUGUACUGACUUUCUGACUCUCAUUUCAGCCUCAGGAAUAUGGCCAAACUUCAUGGGGAGGCUAUCAAGGAAGUAUAAUUUGUGAGCAGAAAUGCGGUUUGAGUGACCGAAAGUGGAAUGAAGCUGCAAUGGUCUACUUGACUGUAAGGGAUUAUUUGUUUUAAGAUUGCUGAGAAAGACCCAGACAGUCCCUAAUUGCAGCCUGAAGUUUUGGGUUUUCAAAGUUUAUGGGGCUCUGAAUUCUUGCUGUUAGUAAUGCAUAGGUGGGAGUAAUGUCCUAUCCUUGGGGGACAUUGUUACUCAGAAAAAGAAGUUGUUUUGUUUCUGUUUUCUCCUGCCAUGUUUCAGUGAAGGGUUUAACUGUUACAGGUAGCUGGGAUGUUGUUUAGACUUAGUGCUUUCUGUCAGGAUGAGGCAGAGCCCAGGGUAGAGAACCUGGCUGGAGACGACUAUCUGGGCUCCCAGUAUUGCUCAGCAUGGGCCCUCUGAAUGUUAAGUCCAGACCAUGCUUUAUCCUUUACAGAUAGAACACCUGGACUGUGAGGUCAUAGAACAUCCAGGACCUGUUCUCUUGGGACAACUGCUGCUCCCUCCUGGGUCUUCUUCUUUUAGAGUUCUACCACCACUGUGUUGGGCACCUGGCCAUAGAUGAGAUCCCUGGGGUCUAGGCACAUUAGCAUGGGGGUCGAGGAUGGGGGAGGGAGUCUGUGGCUGUCCCUGGGCCAGCAGCCCCCAGAUGGUAUGAUUGGGGGCUGCACAUGCAUCCACAAGGCAGGGGGAAAUCAGCUUUGGACAGGCUGCUGGUUCCCAAUAUUCAGCCAUCAAACAUAACCAAAGCAAGGGCAGUGGCCACCUCAGGGUGGGGAGAGAGCUUGAAAAAUGGAAAUGGCUUGGAAGCUGUGCUCAUUCACUCCCACACGCGUUGGGACAGCCCGCAGG
rnacentral:lncRNA from 1 species